GGCAAUGUAGCUCAGUGGUAGAGCACUUGCCUAGUAAGCCCAAGGCCCUGGGUUCAAUUCCCAGAACUGUAG
rnacentral:tRNA from 1 species